UAGAUGUAUUGCCUACCAAAUAGGGUAUGUUUUUAUUUCUACCUUGUUAUAUGAUAAGUUGAAAUUUUAUAUUUAGUCUUUACACUUUGUUGGGGAAGGGGUGAAAACUGGGGGAGAGGAGAAAAUUGGAGAAUAGUUUCACUUUCUCUUGUCUGGGAAUGAGGUGAAAAUGGAGAGAAGAGAAGAAUGAGGAUAAUUUUGUCCUUUGGUCGAACCUAACCCUUUCACCCCAAUUUGGGGUGAAAUUCAUUGAAUCUACUAGCUUGUUCUUAUAAUUAUUUGUUUCAGUGAAAAGAGUGAAGGGCAUGAUAGUAAUUUGAAUCAAUAAAACUUUUUUCCCAUUCCUCUCCUGCUCCUUUUGUCUUUCCUUCCCAGAGAAGAGGAAAACUUCAUGUAGCUAUAGUGAGUGUGUGAGAUGACAUUAUGUCUUUUUUAUUUUUUAUUGUAACCCUUCUCAUUUCGAUAAAUUGAUAUGUUUUUUUCACUUGCUUUUUCCUUAUGCACCCAUUACUGUUAUCUAAUGUAUGAUACGCUACAUGCACUUGGUAACAUUUCCAGAUAACCACAAGAAUUUAUAACUGCGCUGGCAUUUAAUGCUGCAAUUCUGAAUUCUUGUUCAUGAAUAUGUUGUAAUGAAUAAUGUGCAGCUGAAUUUCAGGUUUUAGAUUCUGCAUUUUAUAUUUCCUAAUUCCCAGUCUCUGACUUUCUUAUUUAACUAGGCAUACUGUACUAGGAGAAAGGAAUAUAUGUGUUUUGAAAGCAAUGAAAUUUAUGUAUAAAAUUGGAAAGUUGUGUAAGUCUGUAGUUUUUCUCAAAACAUUGGGAAAUUAAAAAAGGACUGAUAUUUUGCUAAGCAAGAUUAUUAUAAAAACACAGUUGAUAAUAAAUCUCGUCACAGGUACAUGUUAUGGAAUGCCUAAGUUAGGUUCUGCCUCAAAUAAUAAGAAG
rnacentral:misc_RNA from 1 species